rnacentral:tRNA from 1 species
GCCGAAGUGGUGGAAUCGGUAGACGCGUCGGAUUCAAAAUCCGAAGCUCUUCGGGGCGUGAGGGUUCGAGUCCCUCCUUCGGCACCA